rnacentral:rRNA from 1 species
UACGGAGGAUGCGAGCGUUAUCCGGAUUUAUUGGGUUUAAAGGGUGCGCAGGCGGCGUGUCAAGUCAGCGGUAAAAUGUCGGGGCUCAACCCCGGCCGGCCGUUGAAACUGGCGUGCUCGAGUUGGAGAGAAGUAUGCGGAAUUCGUGGUGUAGCGGUGAAAUGCAUAGAUAUCACGAAGAACCCCGAUUGCGAAGGCAGCAUACCGGCUCCACACUGACGCUGAGGCACGAAAGCGUGGGUAUCGAACGGG